rnacentral:rRNA from 1 species
UACGAACUGUGCGAACGUUAUUCGGAAUCACUGGGCUUAAAGGGUGCGUAGGCGGCUGCCUAAGUCAGGUGUGAAAUCUCCCGGCUCAACCGGGAAACUGCGCUUGAUACUGGGCGGCUCGAGUGAGGUAGGGGUGUGUGGAACUUCCGGUGGAGCGGUGAAAUGCGUAGAUAUCGAGAGGAACACCUGCGGCGAAGGCGGGUUGCUGGGCUGACACUGACGCUGAUGCGCGAAAGCCAGGGGAGCGAACGGG